ACCCCGGCUCCUUGGGAUAGAUGGGGAAGCUGAGGCCCAGAAGGGGGCUGAGACCACCUCCCAGUUUCCCCAGUGAGGUGGCGCCUGAGCCACGGCCAGGCCCGGCCUCCUUCCACCCGGCCCUGCUGUGCGCGCGGCGGGUGCUGACCUGGCGAGGCCGGACAGGGGACCAGGUCGGGGUGACCGUCACUGACACCUGGACAGUCCUCGUUGUGUUCGGGGUGGGAAGCCCACGGAAGACAUCAACACAGGAGACUCCCAAGACUGCUGGGGCCAAAUGUGGCAGGUGGACGUCUCCCCGCCACCGAGCAAGCCAUCAGUUCUGCAGCGGACACCAGCCGAGUGUCCUCCAACACCAUUCCGGUACCUGCAGAUAGCGUCAGAUCCAGACACCUACACACACACACACACACACACACACACACACAUAUGCACACACAUGAGCUGCGAGGGCCAGCCUCUGGAACUUCUUACCGACUGGCCCGACGUUGAGGUUCCCACUGUUAGAGGAACGCUUGCUCACCAGGCCUCUGGUUUAAUGAAACAUGACCAGAGUGACUCCAUCUUGAAGUGAGUAGGAGGCACUCACAAGGCACCUAUAAGGUUAAUGCUUAUGGUCUAAAAAUAGCCAUGUCUCAAGCUGGACACCAAUUAUAAUUACAGAAUAUUUGUGGCCAUAUGGGGCAUCUCCCAGCAAGCCCGCAGACUGUCCAGAUAACCCAAGAGUGCAGGCCACUUUACUCAGAGAUAAUUUCAAUGAGCAGCCUGAGGUUGGAGGAUGAACGGGCACUGAUGGCACCCACAGCCCCUAUCCUUAGUGGGUGCAUCUGCCCAUUCCAGGUGUAAUUGUAGCUCCUUACAGUUUCUUGUAAGCAGAGGCACUAACAGAGGACAGGCCCUCCUCCUCCUGCUUUCUGAGCACGCCCCACUCUGGAACGGAGCCAUUUCAAAUAAACCUGCUUCUCUCACUGUGCUCUGUGGCUCACCCCAAAUUACUUCCUGCACAACAUCCAAGAACCUGCUCUUGGGGUCUGGAUCAGGACCCUCUUUCCCAGCAAUACUGCAGCCCCUCCCGGUUUUGCGUUCAAUUGAUUUGCAAGAGUGGCUCAGGGAACUCAGGGAAACACAUUUGCAGUUAAUUAUAAAUGGAUACACGCGAGAGGCACAGGGCGCCGUCUCCCGGAAGGGGUGGGGAGCUUCCAUGCCGCCCACGUGGCCCCUCCAGGAAACCUCUAUGUGCUCAGCAUUCCUGCCCCCAGGGCAUGGGACUGAUCCUCUCUGAAUGAGCCUCUUUGGGCCCAUGAUCAGAAAGGAGAGGGAGUACUGGAGACCUGCCUUGGGGCAGGUGAAAGGGGAGCAGGAGAUGUCACAGAGAUUCCAUUUCUACCCACAACUGUAACAAGGGCCAUGGAGUCCUGACCGGGCCGAAUGCCAACUCUCCCCCCACACAUCUACCUCCUUCUUACGUAGCAGCACUCCUUCUCACACAGCACUCCCUCCUCCUCCUCACACAGGACUCCCUCCCCCCUCACACAGGACUCCCUCCCCCUCACACAGGACUCCCUCCUCCUCCUCACACGGCACUCCCUCCUCCUCACACAGGACUCCCUCCUCCUCCUCACAUGGGACUCCUUCCUCCUCACACAGGACUCCCUCCUCCUCACACAGCACUCCCUCCUCCUCACACAGGACUCCCUCCUCCUCCUCACAUGGGACUCCUUCCUCCUCACACAGGACUCCCUCCUCCUCCUCACACGGGACUCCCUCCUCCUCACACAGGACUCCCUCCUCCUCACACGGGACUCCCUCCUCCUCACACGGGACUCCCUCCUCCUCACACAGGACUCCCUCCUCCUCACACGGGACUCCCUCCUCCUCACACGGCACUCCCUCCUCCUCACACAGGACUCCCUCCUCCUCCUCACACAGCACUCCCUCCUCCUCACACGGGACUCCCUCCUCCUCACACGGGACUCCCUCCCCCUCACACGGCACUCCCUCCUCCUCACACGGCACUCCCUCCUCCUCACACAGGACUCCCUCCUCCUCACAUGGGACUCCCUCCUCCUCACACGGCACUCCCUCCUCCUCACACGGGACUCCCUCCCCCUCACACGGCACUCCCUCCCCCUCACACAGGACUCCCUCCUCCUCACACAGGACUCCCUCCUCCUCACACAGCACUCCCUCCUCCUCACACAGGACUCCCUCCUCCUCCUCACAUGGGACUCCUUCCUCCUCACACAGGACUCCCUCCUCCUCCUCACACGGCACUCCCUCCUCCUCACACGGGACUCCCUCCUCCUCACACAGGACUCCCUCCUCCUCACAUGGGACUCCCUCCUCCUCACACAGGACUCCCUCCUCCUCCUCACACAGCACUCCCUCCUCCUCACACGGGACUCCCUCCUCCUCACACAGGACUCCCUCCUCCUCACAUGGCACUCCCUCCUCCUCACACAGGACUCCCUCCUCCUCCUCACACAGCACUCCCUCCUCCUCACACGGGACUCCCUCCUCCUCACACGGGACUCCCUCCUCCUCACACGGGACUCCCUCCUCCUCACACGGCACUCCCUCCUCCUCACACAGGACUCCCUCCUCCUCCUCACACAGCACUCCCUCCUCCUCACACGGGACUCCCUCCUCCUCACACGGGACUCCCUCCUCCUCACACGGGACUCCCUCCUCCUCACACAGGACUCCCUCCUCCUCCUCACACAGCACUCCCUCCUCCUCACACGGGACUCCCUCCUCCUCACACGGGACUCCCUCCUCCUCACACAGGACUCCCUCCUCCUCCUCACACGGCACUCCCUCCUCCUCACACGGCACUCCCUCCUCCUCCCACACCAGAGCAGAGAGAUCAUAAGACUGGGACGGGCCUGCUGUCAUGCGGAGGCUUUUGUUUUUUUAAUUUUUAAAAUUUUAAACCAGGCAACCUCCGAACCAGAAUAGGUUCAGGGAGACUUCCAUGACUAAGAGGCCUUUGGCCCUAGUUGUGGAAGACUUUUGUCCUGGUAGCGUCUCAGAUGACGGGAGGAGGCUGCUGGGGCCUGUGGGGAGAAGUCCCACGGGUGAGAGUGAGCAGUGGGCCUCCAGCGAGAGGGCAGAGCCUUGAGCACUUUCCCCUGGCAGGACUGGGUUAGGCGCCUGUGGAGUUUGGGGCACGUUUGCUGCAGGCUGCCUCCCGGCUCUGUCUCGGGUCUGGACUCAGGCGUGCCUGCUGUCAGGAGGGACCUGGUUGAAGGCCUGGCCCAGCAGGCGGUGUCUGGAGCCAGAAAGCCAGAUGCUGCUGCCCCAUGAAGAAUGAGCCGGUGGCCUUACUGCUGGGGCUGGCAGAUGAGGCCACCGAUGAGCUCUGCCCUGUUUUCUGGGUUCAAGAGGGAAGGAGCCACAGCUGCCCUGUGUGCUCCUAGGACGGGUCAGCCACCUGAGAUCUGCCCGUGGCCACAGGCCUCAUCCUGCCCUGACCUUUCUCUGGCCACGAUUCAGGGGUCCUGUGGGGGAGCGCCUCUGAUUCUUGGCCUCCCCCAUCCAGCCCCUGCUGCCGCUGCCUGUGUCUCUUGGAAGGCAGGGACUGUGGGGCUGGCCAGGAGGCCUGACGGGGAGUGCAGAUGGCAGGACAGGGCAGGCUGGGGCGGGACGGGGCAGGCUGGGCUGGGACCUGCCUGCUGGCUCUGGUGGGAGGUAGGCUGUCUCCCAGCCUUGGCUCAGUGCGGGGAGAGCAGGCUGACUCUCUGGCUGGGCUGCCGUGAGGUGAGCUCGCUGCCUGACCUCCCUGUGUCCAGGCUUCACAUUCCAACGUGCAGCUGCCAGUACUCUGCUCUCAGGCUUGGUUCCCGCCUCUCCCAGGGCACAGUCCAAAGUGCUCCCGGGGAUUUCAGCAUCUGCUCCCACCACUGGGGCCUUAGGCUCUUCCUGUAACUUCCACUGCCACCUUGACCCUGGCUCAACCCUGAAACCGAAGUUGGCUCCAGGCCUCCCUGAGUUGCUGCUUGUCCCUCCUCUUGGGACAUCUUCCCCAACCUCAGGGGAGGCCCCUCCCACAGAGUGACUGAGACAGGUCUCAACCAGUUCAGAGGUUCACUUUGCCAAGGUUGAAGCCAUGCCCGGGAAAAAGAGGCAGAAAACACAGUAGGGUGUGCAGCCCACUCCUUUUCCAAAGAGGGUUUUGGGGCUUCAAUAGUUAAAGAAAGAAGUGGCCGCAGGGGAAGGAGGAAAGGAAAAAAGGGAGGGUCAUAUUCUUGUGAGGCUGUGAUCAGUGUCCACUGCUCUCCAGGUUGCAGGUGAAAGUGGGGGCCAGAGGAACAGUUGAUUUGUGUGUGUGUGUGUGUGUUUUUUUUGAGAUGGAGCCCCACUCUGUUAUCUAGGCUGGAGUGCAGUGGCGCAAUCUCAACUCACCGCAACCUCUGCCUCCCGGGUUCAAGCGAUUCUCCUGCCUCAGCCUCCUGAGUAGCUGGGAUUACAGGCAUGCACUACCACCACGCCUGGCUAAUUUCUGUAUUUUUGUAGAGAUGGGGGUUUUGCCAUGUUGGCCAGGCUGGUCUCGAAUUCCUGACCUCAGGUGAUCCACCCGCCUCAGCCUCCCAAAGUGCGGGAUUACAGGCGUGAGCCACGAGCCACCGUGCCUGGCUGAUUUGUUGUUCGUUUACAUUUUCAGGUGAGGGAGGCCACCUGGGGAGACACGUGGCCUUCUAUCUUGUAGCUGUCUGUUUAAGAACAAAAGGAAAGGCAGGGGUUUUUUUUGUUUUUGUUUUUGUUUUUUGCAUGACUCAGUUUCUAAGCUUAACUUUUUCCUUUGGCAUAGUGAGUCUGGGGACCCAAGAUCUUAUUUUCCUUUCUGUCACCCCCGCUUGGUUUUGGAUUCCGUGACAGCUGGACCCGGCUUCUGCGUGGGAAGAGUGUAUCACAGCCAUUGGGAACUUUCUUCACCCAUCAAAGCCUCAGGGCUGAAGCAUCCUGAACAAGAACUCAGGAGAGUGAAAGAAACAGUUACCUGUCGGCUGCAGCUGGUACCAGCUCCCCACCCCGUACAGAGACCGAAGCGUCCUCUCUCUCCCCAUCACCCAGCACCAGACUCUGCCCCGCGACCUCAGCCUGCACCUGCUUCCUGGCUCCAUCCAGCCUUCCAGCCUCACUAGAUCAUCAUGGGCCACUGGCCAACACACAGGGCAGUGCCGAGCCCAGGCCGUGGUCACACAUGGCUGGGUUAGUAGCUGAAAACAUUGUUUUUCACUGGCCUCACAGUAAUGGCACCUGCCCCCAUUUUCUGUGAUUGAAUUUUUGGAUCCUGCUACCAGGUUAUGAUAGAUUUUAUGGUAUGUCUCAAGAUAUUGAGAUAAAGGUAAUAAAACAGCUAUAAAGUCCUGGCUCAAGAAGUGUUACAAACCCAAGCAGGGUAAAUACAAGAAAACUGCACCCAGACACAACAUAGUAAAAUUGCUGAAAACCAAAGAUGAAUAGAACACUUAACAGUUGGAGGAAAAAAGCCACAUUACCUUCAUAAGGACACCAAUCACACUAACAUCUGACUUCGAAAUAGAAAUAUAAAAGCCAAACUACAAGGGAAUGUGAUCUUCAAAAUAUUGAAAGAAUUUAAUUGUUAAGUGAAAUAAUUAACUGCCAACCUAAAUUCUAUUCCUAGUGGAAAUACUCUCCAAGAAUAAAGGUGAAAUAAAUACAGACUCACACAAGAGAAAUCAAGAGCGUUCUUCCUCAGGAGACAUGAGCUGAUUGGUAUAGAAGAGGUGUUUGAAACGUCCUUAGAGGGAGGGCUAGAGACACAGGGAGGAGAAACCUUCAGAACACACCUUCCAUUGAGGGCCAAAAAAGUCAACUAUCGAUUCUUUGAAAGUGCCCCAAACUCGUAAAUCUCUGGUGAUGCUGACCAAAAAAACAAUGAAGGAAGGCACCCUGUGAUGGGGAAGGAAAAGGGGAGAUUGCUGGAGAUCUGUGGAUAUUAAAAAUAGGCACAUAUACACUAUGGAAUACUAUGCAGCCAUAAAAAAGGAUGAGUUCAUGUCCUUUGUAGUGACAUGGAUGAAGCUGAAAACCAUCAUUCUGAGCAAACUUUCGCAAGGACAGAAAACCAAACACUGCAUGUUCUCACUCAUAGGUGGGAAUUGAACAAUGAGAACACUUGGACACAGGGUGGGGAACAUCACACACCGGGGCCUGUCGGGGGGUGGGGGAGGGGGGAGGGAUAGCAUUAGGAGAUAUACCUAAUGUAAAUGAUGAGUUAAUGGGUGCAGAACACCAGCAUGGCACAUGGAUACAUAUGUAACUAACCUGCACAUUGUGCACAUGUACCCUAGAACUUAAAGUAUAAUGAUAAUAGAAAAAAAAUAGAGCACAAGGAACAUGCUAACAAAUUUGAAAGUUUUGAUGAGAUGGAAAAAUUCCUAGAAAAUUAUAACUUACCAAAACUGAAAGAAGAAAGAUAAAUGACCCCACAUUUGUUAAAUAAAUUGGAUCUGUCAUGAAAAUAUUUCACACAGUGGAACCUCUAGUCACAAAUGCUUCACCAGUGAAUUCUACUAAACAUUUAAGGAAUAAAUAGCACCCAUCUCACACAAACUCUUCUAGAGCCGAGGCAUAAUGGGAACAGCAACUCCACCUGUCAUGUUUCACCUCCAGGAAAACGUGAUACCCAAACUCAACAGAGAAAAAAUAAACUUACAGACCAGUCUCACUCAUGAACAUAAACAGAAAUCCUCAACAAGAUAUUAACAUAUAAGACCUGGCAGUUGGCCAGGCGUGGUGGCUCACGCCUGUAAUCCCAGCACUUUGGGAGGCCGAGGUGGGUGGAUCACGAGGUCAGGAGAUCGAGACCAUCCUGGCUAACAUGGUGAAACCCUGUUUCUACUAAAAAUAAAAAAAUUAGCCAGGCGUGGUGGCGGGCGCCU
rnacentral:lncRNA from 1 species